AGUUGUGGCCCAUCUUAUGUGAUUAGCAAGCAUCCUAGCAAAAUAUGGGAGGGAAUGCAUAGCUCACCCGUCUAUAUGCAUUGGGGAUUAGCAAGCUGCCUAUCUAGGUGGAGGAAAUGUGCCGGGUUAGGUCAGGGUCGGAGUUGCAGGUGGCCUGGCCAUAGUACCUUGAGCCUUGGCCCCGAAUCCGCCGUGUCCUUAACUGGGCUGAAAAGACUCUGGCCCUACAGGGCAGCCCUGCAAGGAAAAGAAUUAAAUGAUGAAAAGGUUUGGAUCAUUGCAGCAUGACUUAGAUCCAAUGUCUUUAAACUAAUACGUUGUGAAUGGGAACCACUUACAAGUGUCUUUAGAUCA